rnacentral:lncRNA from 1 species
GUUUAAUAUAACGUGUUUUCAAUUCAUAUGAAACGGUAUCAAAACAUGUGAAAAUAUUGUUUGGGAAUCAUAUUGUUGAUCAUAUAUGAGAUGAAACUGCAUUGUUCAGGAAUAUUUUAGAUCAAUUUUAUAGGCAAAGAUUUCAAGUGUUGAAUCAACAACUGAACAUUUAUAGCUCUUCAAAAUAAUUUACCUUGUGCAAGAAAUUGUUUAACACAUAAGUGGUUUCCAGUUUGAUUAAAACAAUUGACUUUUACAGCUACCUUGACCCACAAAUAUGUAAGUGUGGAUGUAGACUUUAAUGGUAGAAGUGAUCGACCAGAAUGGGCCACAGCCAGGUACCAUGCAUACUAUAGUCCUCAUUGUGCCUGGGAGUUAGAACUACAGUGGGUGGUGGCUACUGGCAGUAUACUGGCUGAACUGGUA